UGGUCUCAGCGGUGUUUAUUUUAUUAGCAGGAUCUCCAUUUGCUCACAGGACCAUCGGAAAAUAAUGUUUCUCCGUUACGCGUUUGUUAUUGUUGCUGUGCUGAAUUUCCUGCACGACUUCCACGUGUGCUGCGAUGAAAACUGUGCAGAAAAACCUGUUUUCACUCCGUCCAGACUGGUAGUGAAGUAUGGUGACCCAGCCUCUGCCACCUGCCUUGUUUGUCAGCAUAAUUGCACAAAUGAUGCAUUUGGUCUGGAGCAUGCUGUGGGGUACACUGAAGAAAAUGGAACCACGAUUUCAUGGAAGGUUGACAGCCUGACUGAAUGGGAAACAUAUCCACAGUGCUACUAUACUGAUGAUGAUGAUAACCAGUGUGUUACCAGCCUGCCUAUAACCGUCUAUCAGCCUCCAAAAAAUGUCCAUCUCAGCUUCCUAAAUCACUUUGGGCCGAUGUUUGCAGGCCAUCAGUACACUCUGCAGUGUACAGUCCAGGAAGUUGCUCCUAUUAGUAACCUCAAUGUGACCUUCUACAGAGGACAGACAGAACUACAGAGACGACAGUCCAGCAGCACAACAAUGGAGCCAGUUAAUGAGACCUUCACUCUGGACAUCAACCCAAGUAAAGAUGAUGGAGGCCUGUACUGGUGUGAAGCCGAGCUAGAGCUGGGAGCUGAAGGACCACAGCCUCCUCCAGUGGUGAUGUCACAAAAAAUCCCUGCCACUGUUUACUGUGACCUCACCCCUCACCCGACCUCCUGCAGAGAACUACAUCGUCAUUAUUAUAGCGGUGGUAGCAGUCAUCAUUGUGGCUGUCCUUGUAUUCGGCGUUGUGUACUACCGAAUGGGACAAUAGAACCUGAAGGACGUUUGCCCUUCCAGCCAUCGCUGUCAACAUGUUGCUGUGCCUGUUGGAGAGUAAAUCUGUGGGUGAAGCCUCACAUGUGUAUGGACGACCUGAACCUGUUGCUAUGUCAAGUGCUGCAGUUAUGCUCAUAAGCUGCAGUUAGGUGUAAACCACAGAUGUACACAGAAAGCAUCAGAAGUCCCUUUAUAUGAGGUGUGACACACACAUGCUGUACAUGGGUCAGUGAAAAAUAAGGGCUGGCAAGAUGAGCAAUUCAAAAAUGUCUUAAAAAUUGUUUUUAAAACAGCAUCAGGUUUGUUAAUAUGUACUUUUUAUAUUUAUGUUGGUUUUAUGUAAUUUGAAAUGACAUUUGCAACAUGUUUUUACAAACGCAAAAAUGAAUGCUCCUGAAAAUAUCCAAUGGUGUAACCACAAAAGAAUGAUAAAUAUUAAAUAUUUUACCCGCCUACAGUGUAUUUAAGUACACUAAUAAUAAAAUAAUUACUUCAUUUUAAAACAAAGUUUUGUCAAUAUUGAGCAGGACAGCAAUUUGUUCCCCUAAAUAAUUGUGUGACAAAUUAUCUAAAAUUUGUUUAAAAAACAUAGUGUUGCGUUGCAAAAGUGGAUUACAUGUAUUCCACAUUUUAGUUAAUGUUCCUGUAUAUAAUCAGAUUUUUAUGAAAAAAUACUGGUUACACCAAUUGGACACUGGGUUGCAUCAAUUGGUGAUAAAGGAACAACUGAUAAAGGAACAAAGAGAUAAAAUGAUUCAAUUUACGCCUCUGAGCUCUGUAUCUUCAGCCUGAUGGUGACAGCUCAUACUCAGAGUACAGAAAAUGGGCUGGAUCACUCAGAAUACUCUUUUCAGGUCCGAGUACACACUGGUCAUAGAGAGUCUGGAGAUUAGGUCAGUUUUGCACCAAUUACACAUUUACUGUAGACUGAGUUUGUCAGAUUAUUCCUUUACAAUAAAGGGAUUUAUCAGGGCAACUGUGUACUUGUCAAUGUUGUUGUAAUAUCAAUAUGAUUUACAAGGCAAUGCCAUUUUGUCUUAUUCAAUUAAAAUUAGUCAAGAUAAUAAGUGAAAUCAUUUAAAUAGACAAAAACAGAAGAUGUAAUUCAGCUUUGUUUUGACAGAUAAGAAGACCAAAUCACCUGACCUACAUGUCUUUACCAGAAGGGUGUGUUGACUCACGAAUAAAAGGACACCAGAGUCUCAACCUCAAGUCCUGUUUGGAACUGGGGAUCUGCACUCCAGACCAGAAGCAGAGACAGCUCCCCCACCCAGAGUCUCAUCAUUCCCCGGUUCCCUUACUACACGCACCUAGGAGACGGGUACAGCAUCCUGCGCCUCCUCACCAACCUGGCAACCGGCUCCAACUCGCACCCACACUACAUCCUAAACCUCUAUUCUUUUCUUCUCCCCCUCCCCUACAUCCCAUCCCUUCCCCCAUCCCCACGACCCUCACUUCUCCCUCCAUACCCUACGACCCCUCGACCCUAACCCCUACAUCCCCACGACCCUAACCCCAAUACAUCCAACCGACCCUCACCCCUCAUCCCACCUCUUCAACCUUUCGACCUUCAUCCCUUUCGACCCUUACCCCCUCAUCCCUACCCACCUACCCUCACCCCCCAUCCCUACCCUUCGACCCUCACCCCUCAUCCCUACCCCUCAACCCUCACCCCCCAUCCUUCCUUCCCUAUCCCUCAACCCUUUUUCUAAU